GAUGAACGCUGGCGGCGUGCCUAAUACAUGCAAGUCGAGCGCACGGAGGUGAUGCUUGUACCUCUGGUGUUAGCGGCGGACGGGUGAGUAACACGUGGAUAAUCUACCUAUAAGACUGGGAUAACUUCGGGAAACCGAAGCUAAUACCGCAUAAUAUCUUGAACCGCAUGGUUCAAAAUUGAAAGACGCUCUUGCUUCCACUUAUAGUUAGAUCGCCGUUGCAUUAGCUAGUUGGUAGGGUAACGGCCUACAAAGCCAACGAUGCUAAGCCAACUUGAGAGGGUGAUCGGCCACACUGGAACUGAGACACGGUCCAGAUUCCUACGGGAGCAAGAAGUAGGGAAUCUUCCGCAAUGGGGGAAGGCUGGACGGAGAAACGCCGCGUGAGGGAUGAAGGUCUUCGGAUCGUAAAACUCUGUUAUAAGGGAAGAACAUAUGUGUAAGUAACUGCGCACAACGUGACGGUACCUAAUCAGAAAGCCACGGCUAACUACGUG
rnacentral:rRNA from 1 species